rnacentral:snoRNA from 1 species
AAGACUAUACUUUCAGGGAUCAUUUCUAUAGUUCGUUACUUUCUAUUCUUUUAGUGUUUGGAAAUACUAUUUACCUUCUGAAGU